rnacentral:lncRNA from 1 species
GUCAUGCAAGAAGGAGGCGGCGGCGGCGGCCGGAGCUGGAGGGGGAGGAGGGGAGGAACCUGAUCCUCGGUAGCGAAGGGCUGGAGGCAAACACCGAGCUCCCCCUGAGCCGCCUGGGAGCAGGGAGGGUUCUGCUACCCUGAGGGGCCCUCCCCGCGGGGCAGAGGGGUUUCCUCAGCAGUGCCCCGGAGCAGGGACCGCGCCAGCCAGCAGAAACAGCUAGUUGUUGUCUGCAGUGAAGAAUAAUUGGAAGCAUGGUGCCUGUUUCUUUUCCUGUGGGAGGAAGUCACAGCAUCUACUUCUGAAUCUGUGCUUGCCUUGAGGAAAAACGGCAUGGCACAGGAAUGUGGACGCUUUCAACCAGAGGAUUCUGUACGACGGUGUCGGCACACAAGGAGCCAAGAAUAGGACAGCUUGGGAAGGUGAGCUGCGUAUAGCUCGUCAGGCUGAGCUCAUCCUCGUCUACGGCCAAACGUUGGUUUCUCAUUUCUAGAAGAUGAAAGAUGUGAUGACUCAGGAAAAACUGGAAUCUUAGUAACUGUGGUGGGCAUUGAGCCUUGCCGUCCACAAGAGAAAGCUUGCUGCUCGAGAUGUGAGUCUUCAGAUGUUCCUGCCGCCAUAUCUGACAGCUGCUGCCAAGAUUCCCUGGUGGGAUGGACUCUUAUACCUCAACAACCAGAAGCCCAAGUAAACUCUUCUAUAAAUUGAAUGACUCAUGCUUAAAAAAAAAAACAAAAAACAAACUAUCUUUA